UNCAGUUCGUGACAAGUGCCACAAGCCCAGGU
rnacentral:piRNA from 1 species